ACGUAGGAGGCAAACGUUAUCCGGAUUUACUGGGCGUAAAACGCGUGUAGGUGGUUCUGUAAGUAGGGCGUGAAAGCUCCUGGCUCAACUGGGAGAGGCCGUUCUAAACUGCAGAGCUAGAGGAUGGUAGAGGGAGGUGGAAUUCCGGGUGUAGCGGAGCAAUGCGCCGAUAUCCGGAGGAACGCCAGUGGCGUUAGCGUCCUCCUUGCCCAUGCCUGACACUCAGACGCGAAUGCUAGGGUAGCAGACGG
rnacentral:rRNA from 1 species